GAUGAACGCUGGCGGCGUGCCUAAUACAUGCAAGUCGAGCGAAUUGACAGAGGUGCUUGCACCUCUCGAUUUUAGCGGCGGACGGGUGAGUAACACGUGGGUAACCUACCUAUAAGACUGGGAUAACUUCGGGAAACCGGAGCUAAUACCGGAUAAUAUUUAGCUUCGCAUGAAGCGAUAGUGAAAGACGGUUCUGCUGUCACUUAUAGAUGGACCUGCGGUGUAUUAGCUAGUUGGUGAGGUAACGGCUCACCAAGGCAACGAUACAUAGCCGACCUGAGAGGGUGAUCGGCCACACUGGGACUGAGACACGGCCCAGACUCCUACGGGAGGCAGCAGUAGGGAAUCUUCCGCAAUGGACGAAAGUCUGACGGAGCAACGCCGCGUGAGUGAAGAAGGUUUUCGGAUCGUAAAACUCUGUUGUAAGGGAAGAACAAGUACGUUAGUAACUGAACGUACCUUGACGGUACCUUACCAGAAAGCCACGGCUAACUACGUGCCAGCAGCCGCUGUAACAC
rnacentral:rRNA from 1 species